GUUGCACGUGGGGGCAAAAGCGGGAUUGGCCGGCCGAAAGUCUCUGAAGCAGUGAGAACCGUCCUGACCAACAGAGAUCCCUUGUCUUCUCCCCCAGGAAAGGCAGGCAGCCUCACUCCUGAGCAGGACGCAGGUGCGACGGGCCGAAGAGGCAAAGUGGAGACCUGAGACUUGGGGACGCCAGGCUCGGCUGAAGGCAGAGCCACAGUGCAAACAAGGAAUCCAGUAGCAGUCUGCGUGCUGACCAUCCGUCCUGGGCUUCCCUCCCCCACUGCAGUGGCACCACUCAAUCAGGAGGCUCUUCAGCCAGCGCCUGUCCCCUCUGCCUGAUAACGGGGGACCUGGCUUCGGGGUCAGUUGUUAGGUUCUACUUUCUUUGCCUGGAGACCCGGGGGCCUAGAGAUUAUGGCCGCACUGCCACAUGAAAACUGAACGAGAAGUCGUGCAGACAUUUCUUCCUGGAUGGCACACAGACCUUGAAAACUUCAAUUCCAUUUGCCUCUGAUCCUGCCUGGCAUGGCCCUACUGAUAUGCAUCCCUUCCCAGCUCUGGGGUCAUGUUGGUAGCUUGGAAAUGACCACAACAGAAGUAUUUACACCGUGGGAACUGGGGGAUACCACCUAUCAGGCUUUUAUUUCCCAGAAAGUUCGUUGUCAAACAUUUACCAGCACACCCUUGCCCUGAUCCCUCCAUGCAGCACUGCACAGUCAAAGACAGAGGUUGGUUUGGUGCAACUGGGAGUGGGGUUGCCUCACCCACUGCUGGGUCUCACAACCAAAUUAGGAAUGGAAUAUUAACUCUUCUUAUUCAUAAA